rnacentral:misc_RNA from 1 species
GUAGGUGAACCUGCGGAAGGAUCAUUAACACGUAUUUUACGUUCUCACCCGUGAACUGUGUUAGCCAGGAAGGAGACUUUUUGAAAGGGGGCCUCGGAUCACACUUGUGUGUUCAGUUGCCGCUUUUCUCAAAGUCUCGAUUUGUACAUCUCCGGUUUUUUCAGCGAGUUUCUCAAGAGGGUACAAGUCACUUUGAUUGGGUUUCGGACAAGCCGGAUUGGUUUUUCCUGCACUCGUUAGGCUGAGUAGAUUUGAACUCUGUGAUCGCUGUAGUUUCCUUACUGGGCUUCGGACAUUCGGACAACACAGCCCUUAAGGAGUACCGCAGCUUGAACACGGUGGACAUCCGCUCGGAAUCUCAUAAACACGCGAUUUUUACCCAUAUACAAAACAGGGCUGAUCUCUUUAUUUUUUCUCUGAAAGGAGGAAAAGUAUAAACAAUCGAGAACAACUCUUAGCAACGGAUAUCUUGGUUCUG